ensembl:miRNA mdo-mir-7332 mdo-mir-7332
CAAUAGCCUGGAUGAUUCAGAUGAAAGAAUCCACUUGGCCUCCUGAAUCAACUGACUGUUGGU